CUACGGGAGGCUGCAGUGAGGAAUAUUGCACAAUGGGGGGAACCCUGAUGCAGCAACGCCGCGUGGAGGAUGACGCAUUUCGGUGUGUAAACUCCUUUUAUAUGUCAAGAAAAUGACGGUAGCAUAUGAAUAAGCACCGGCUCAACUCCGUGCCAGCAGCCGCGGUAAUACGGAGGGUGUAAGCGUUACUCGGAAUCACUGGGCGUAAAGGACGCGUAGGCGGGUUGGAAAGUCAGGUGUGAAAUCCUACAGCUUAACUGUAGAACUGCACUUGAAACUUCUAAUCUAGAGUAUGGGAGGGGGAGAUGGAAUUAGUGGUGUAGGGGUAAAAUCCGUAGAUAUCACUAGGAAUACCUAAAGCGAAGGCGAUCUCCUGGAACAUUACUGACGCUAAGGCGUGAAAGCGUGGGGAGCAAACAGGAUUAGAUACCCGCGUAGUC
rnacentral:rRNA from 1 species